AUUGAACGCUGGCGGCAGGCCUAACACAUGCAAGUCGAACGGUAACAGGAAACAGCUUGCUGUUUAGCUGACGAGUGGCGGACGGGUGAGUAAUGUCUGGGACACUGCUUGAUGGAGGGGGAUAACUACUGGAAACGGUAGCUAAUACCGCAUAACGUCGCAAGACCAAAGAGGGGGACCUUCGGGCCUCUUGCCCUCGGAUGUGCCCGGAGGGGAUUAGCUAGUAGGUGGGGUAACGGCUCACCUAGGCGACGAUCCCUAGCUGGUCUGAGAGGAUGACCAGCCACACUGGAACUGAGACACGGUCCAGACUCCUACGGGAGGCAGCAGUGGGGAAUAUUGCACAAUGGGCGCAAGCCUGAUGCAGCCAUGCCGCGUGUAUGAAGAAGGCCUUCGGGUUGUAAAGUACUUUCAGCGGGGAGGAAGGGAGUAAAGUUAAUACCUUUGCUCAUUGACGUUACCCGCAGAAGAAGCACCGGCUAACUCCGUGCCAGCAGCCGCCGUAA
rnacentral:rRNA from 1 species